rnacentral:rRNA from 1 species
UAGAGUUUGAUCAUGGCUCAGGAUGAACGCUAGCGGCAGGCUUAACACAUGCAAGUCGAGGGGCAUCGGGAGGGAAGCUUGCUUUCCUUGCCGGCGACCGGCGCACGGGUGAGUAACACGUAUGCAACCUGCCCUCUUCAGGGGGACAACCUUCCGAAAGGGAGGCUAAUCCCGCGUAUAUCGGUUUCGGGCAUCCGAGAUCGAGGAAAGAUUCAUCGGAAGAGGAUGGGCAUGCGGCGCAUUAGCUUGACGGCGGGGUAACGGCCCACCGUGGCGACGAUGCGUAGGGGUUCUGAGAGGAAGGUCCCCCACACUGGUACUGAGACACGGACCAGACUCCUACGGGAGGCAGCAGUGAGGAAUAUUGGUCAAUGGGAGAGAUCCUGAACCAGCCAAGCCGCGUGAGGGAAGACGGCCCUAUGGGUUGUAAACCUCUUUUGUCGGAGAACAAAACCCGGGACGUGUCCCGGACUGCGUGUAUCCGAAGAAAAAGCAUCGGCUAACUCCGUGCCAGCAGCCGCGGUAAUACGGAGGAUGCGAGCGUUAUCCGGAUUUAUUGGGUUUAAAGGGUGCGUAGGCGGUCCGUUAAGUCAGCGGUAAAAUUGCGGGGCUCAACCCCGUCGAGCCGUUGAAACUGGCAGACUUGAGUUGGCGAGAAGUACGCGGAAUGCGCGGUGUAGCGGUGAAAUGCAUAGAUAUCGCGCAGAACUCCGAUUGCGAAGGCAGCGUACCGGCGCCACACUGACGCUGAGGCACGAAAGCGUGGGGAUCGAACAGGAUUAGAUACCCUGGUAG